AUGAGCCGCAGUUCUAAUGUAGCCUGCAUGAUAAACAGUGCUGUAAUAACAGCUGACCUCUGCCAUAACUUGCUUUCUUCUCCUCUUAGAUCCUGCUCGUGGGCAGUGAGAGAAAGCAUAAUUUCUGAUUGUGCUUGUACCUUUGAUGAAAGGAAUCCAACUGGAUUUAUGGAAACAAAAGGGCAGAAAAUCCAACACAACUGCUAUGGACUGGACCUGAAGUUUCUGAGACCUCAGUGUAACAUGACAGAAUUACAGUACAGCUUUUCAGGCUACAUUUAUACUGGAAGAAAUAUUCCAUGUUUAUUCGGGAAUGGUCCACAAUGGGUUUGA
rnacentral:lncRNA from 1 species